AAAAAAAAAAAAAAAAAAACUUUUUAGACUCAAUUGUAAGCAGAGUUUUGAAACUUAUUUUAAAUAUUUUGGGUUUUUAUAAUAAAUCACGUCAAGUUACCAAAAAAAAAAUACAUUUUUAAUCAAUGUAUUUAAAACAAUGCUUUUUCUCAACUACAACUACAAUAACAAUGCCACAUGAGACUAUGAAGGGACAAGAUCCUCCACACUACUGAUCCCUCCUCACCUCCCCACCCUAGACAGUACUAAAUUCUCAACUACCUUGCUUUGUCCAAUUAUGCUUCCAUCUCAAAACCCCUUCACCAGAAUUUUUUUAGUAACAUAAUAGAAUUUUUUUAGUAACAUAAUAGAAUUUUUUUAGUAACAUAAGUAGAAAAAAAAUAUUGAGCAUUUACAGCACCAUUGGAAGACAGAUGGGGAAAAACUGUAAAAACCAAUUUACAAUGAUAAAAGCAACAAAAAAACUAGAAACUAAGAUGUGGCUAUUAGUUAAAAGCAAACAAUGGAAUCCUAAUUAAUAGCAAGAUCUAUCGAAAGCUAUAAAAGAUGUACUAACUAGAUCUUAAAUUCAUUUUUCAGCAAAAAGUAUUAUGUUGAUCAUAUACUAAGUGCCUGUUUAGCAUUGUGGUUUGAAGGCCAAAACUGCUUUUCAGAGAAAAAAAAAAAGGAAAAAACCAUUUUAGAUGCCCUUGAAAAAAUCAAUUUGGAAAAACUUAUUUUGUUAUUUUAGUGUUCUAAUAAUUAAAACUCAUCAAAUUUUAUUUUAAUCAUUUUUUAAUACUCCCUGACUAAUAUAUUUGAAGAAGCGCUUUUCUCAACAACAAUGCCAAAAACAGACCCCAAAUUCGUGUUUUUAUCUGCUAUCUUUAUACUUUAGCAAAUUAAAUUUUGAGAAAGAGAGCUCAUGAUCACCCAGAUGAUUUCAGUGAGUGCAAUUCAUCCCAACUGGGAUUACUUUAAUUGAUAAACCUGCAGAUAAUUGCAUACUAGGGAUCUUGGGUUUCACAACAAGACCCUUAUUUCUAAUGACAAGAAAAGGGUAGAUUCAAUUAUUAGUUUGAUAAUAUAUAAAAUCACAAACAAAGAGUUCAAACCUGAGGAACCAAAACCGUGAAAG
rnacentral:misc_RNA from 1 species